rnacentral:rRNA from 1 species
GAUGAACGCUGGCGGCGUGCCUAAUACAUGCAAGUCGAGCGAACGGACGAGAAGCUUGCUUCUCUGAUGUUAGCGGCGGACGGGUGAGUAACACGUGGAUAACCUACCUAUAAGACUGGGAUAACUUCGGGAAACCGGAGCUAAUGCCGGAUAAUAUUUUGAACCGCAUGGUUCAAAAGUAAAAGACGGUCUUGCUGUCACUUAUAGAUGGAUCCGCGCUGCAUUAGCUAGUUGGUAAGGUAACGGCUUACCAAGGCAACGAUGCAUAGCCGACCUGAGAGGGUGAUCGGCCACACUGGAACUGAGACACGGUCCAGACUCCUACGGGAGGCAGCAGUAGGGAAUCUUCCGCAAUGGGCGAAAGCCUGACGGAGCAACGCCGCGUGAGUGAUGAAGGUCUUCGGAUCGUAAAACUCUGUUAUUAGGGAAGAACAUAUGUGUAAGUAACUGUGCACAUCUUGACGGUACCUAAUCAGAAAGCCACGGCUAACUACGUG